AAAAUAGCGAAGAGCACGAAUCUGACCUCAAUUUCAACUAACUCCAAAUAUAUAGAAAGAUAUGAGGAGUUGAAUUUUGAGGUGUGUCAACUGAGUUGCUUCGAUUUGACCGCAAAGCAACUCAAUCUUCUUGCCUACAUUGGUAGGACUUCAGACAACCAAAUAUCCAAGAGAAUUGAUGAGAAUUGAGUGAGAAUCGAAGAGAAGAAGUUUUCUGAAAUUUCCUCCAUGCCAGGCCUGU
rnacentral:lncRNA from 1 species